rnacentral:rRNA from 1 species
UACGUAGGGGGCUAGCGUUGUCCGGAAUCAUUGGGCGUAAAGAGCGUGUAGGCGGUCCGGUAAGUCCGCUGUGAAAGUCGGGGGCUCAACCCUCGAAUGCCGGUGGAUACUGUCGGGCUAGAGUGCGGAAGAGGCGAGUGGAAUUCCUGGUGUAGCGGUGAAAUGCGCAGAUAUCAGGAGGAACACCUAUUGCGAAGGCAGCUCGCUGGGACGUCACUGACGCUGGAGACGCGAAAGCGUGGGGAGCAAACAGG